rnacentral:lncRNA from 1 species
GUUGACAUGUUGUAACCAAGGAGCCGCCAUGUUGACUUGCUGAAAUCAGUAAAUGUGCGAAUAAUGCAAUAGAACAGAAAACAAGCAACACCUACCUCAAUACUUUAUUUUAAUGCAAUUGUAUCCGAGUUUAGAAGGUAAACGCAAUAGAAAAACCUUCAGCUUUGACGUUUUCAUUCGUAUGACGUCAUGUUUUGAAAUGACGUUAAUGCGCAAAAAUCAUUACUGGAAUUUCGCGGAAUUUUAAUUUAUUUUGUCCAUUUUUCCGUUCUCUAAUGUGUAAAUUCUUUUUGUUAUGCAUCAGAAUCAGAAUAAAU